rnacentral:lncRNA from 9 species
AACGAGACUCCAUGAUCUGCUUUCAGACCAGGAGUUCCCCAAAUCAGGGGGCAGUGCAGUGGAGGAAGAGCUGGGAACCUGGUCCUACAUCUGACCAGAGGGAAGAGGCAAAGAGAGACAGAGAUGGGCCUGAGACUUGAGGAGAACUGGAACGAGAAAGAAACGUAGCUGCCCAGCGUUUACCUGCCGGUGUUAAAAGGUCUUUCCAUCUGCCCCGUCUUGUUCUCAGC